GUCGUUAUGCCCAACUCGCUCUCUCUCUCUCUCUCUCUCUCUCUCUCUCCCUAGACGCAGCAGCGGCUUGGCUUGGAUUCAGUACCUCCCCUAUGUGCUGCCUUACUCCAUCAUCACAUCCCUGAACGUGAGCGGUGUAGCUGAGGAGCACUUCUUUAAAACCCGACACUUCGCUGGAGUUGCUUCCCUGCGCGUCUGAGAGUCGGAGGGAGGGGAGAAGCAUUCCCCAAAAUCUCUUCUAACGAUGGAGACCCGUCUGGUUGUAUUCCCUGGCGCUCACUUUACUCUUUCUACCUGGCUAAUUCUUUCCUCCUGGUAUGUUUUUCCAAAUGUAAAGGCAGAUAUAAGUUGCGCGCCAUGUAUGUCGCCAAUGCAAGUGAAUUACGCAGGGGAUGAGCAUCUACGUGACCCGCCUGAUUCUGGGAAAUAUCCGAGACAGGAUCAAAAGAAACCCAAGCUGAUCACAGUUCUUUACCCGAAUAUUGGAGUACCCACUGGACGAGAGGUGGAUGGUUUUCCAGGGAUCGCGCCGAAACUGGAAAGAAACGCAGGGGAGAUAAACUCCCGCGCGCCUUUGGGGAACUUCACCGAGUCCGCUUUAGACGAAGAAUUGUUUUCGGAUGAAUAUGUGAAAAGUGAAUCCGAAUUGGAACCCGAGGACGCCGCAUUAGGGAGAGUCCAAAGAAGCGUGCCCGAGUUUCUGGAGAGCGCUGAUACCCGCUCGGAGGAGCAGAGAAAGACCUCGGGUCUGCGGGUCGACGGACAGAGUAAACGCGCCGAAGUUCGCUGGAACAGGGAUGAUGAGCACGAUUCUAGACCAGACGAGCCCAAACUGACCAGCAACACUUUUGCUCUGGCUGGAGACUCCGCGCACAACCACGCAGUCGUGUACUGGACUGGAAAAAACAGCAGUGUUGAGUGUUCCAGUUAACAUACAAGGUGUUAAAGGAGACGGCCAAGAUUUUAUAAAAGGAAUCAGCAGGAGGAGGCAGCAAAAUUAUUUUUAUGGAGAAGGGCAAUUUUGAAAAAGGUUCUUAAUUUAAAUGUGGAUAUGGAUAGCAUUUUAAAUAUGGAACGUUAUUACAACUUUCAAAAAUUACAUUCCCUUAAAAAAAUUCAUAUGUGUUUUGAGUAGCUACGAGAUGUAUGAAGUCUGCAGCCACUGAUGAAGAAUCAGAUUUUGCAGUUCGCUUCUAGUAAUUGUUUCUGUUUGGCUUUGGAAAACUCAUUCUAGACCAGUGGUUUUAGCAGAUUUGUCCCAGAGCGGUAAUUGGAAGCAACAGGCAGUGGAUUGAGGCAGAUAUUUCUACUACAGAUUCUAUGUGCAUUUUCAUUUAAGAUGGGCCUGUAUAUAUGUGAAAUAAUUUCUCCAGGAGUAUGAGGUGAAGUUAUAUAAAUUAGACUCAUCCUUCUCAAAUGAACCACCUCAUCCAUUAUUGUCUUUCUUAGUGUCUGUUUACACAAAAAAUACAAUAAAUCAAAACAGAUAGUCCAGCGUUUUCAGGCCCUGUCUAGACAUAUUACAUCUAGCUUUAUUAACUUGUUUAGUAGCUGUCAGUAAAACAGCCACAGCAAUUUUAAGCAAGGGUUACUGCCCGCCAGGUCCCGUCCCUCAUCCCCGCAGCUGCAAAUCUCCUAUAAUUAUCUUCCGG
ensembl:lncRNA